UACGAAGGGGGCUAGCGUUGCUCGGAAUCACUGGGCGUAAAGGGUGCGUAGGCGGGUCUUUAAGUCAGGGGUGAAAUCCUGGAGCUCAACUCCAGAACUGCCUUUGAUACUGAGGAUCUUGAGUUCGGGAGAGGUGAGUGGAACUGCGAGUGUAGAGGUGAAAUUCGUAGAUAUUCGCAAGAACACCAGUGGCGAAGGCGGCUACCUGGACCGGUUCUGACGCUGAUGCGCGAAAGCGUGGGGAGCGAACAGGA
rnacentral:rRNA from 1 species